UACAGAGGGGCCAGCGUUAUUCGGAAUUAUUGGGCGUAAAGGGCGCGUAGGCGGCUCUGCGUGUCUUUCGUGAAAUCCCUCGGCUCAACUGAGGACGUGCGGAAGAAACUGCAGGGCUGGAGUCCGGGAGGAGGAGGGUGGAAUUCCCAGUGUAGCGGUGAAAUGCGUAGAUAUCUGGAGGAACACCGGUGGCGAAAGGGCGGCA
rnacentral:rRNA from 1 species